rnacentral:lncRNA from 1 species
GUGGAGUGUACCCACGAGCGCGUGUGCGUGAGGAGGAGAGCAAAGACGUGAUUACUUCAGAAUUUAUUUAAGGGCCGGUGGAAACCACUGCAGCAGCUUCCAGGGGAAGCCCUUGUUCCAGAGGAAGAGGAGGUGGAGAUUGCCAAGGAGGAGGAGGGGAGGAGACACAGAAGGAGGAGUAUCCUAGGCUUGCACGAGGCAAGUGAGAAGAUGCUGUAGCAUCCUCACUGGUUCCCAGCAGGUUGGUUCUGUCGGCCAACUGAUGUAAGCAGAUGAAUUGCAGAGGGACUGGAAGGAAAAAAAAAUUGUUGCCGCGGGCGGAGGCAGCGCGAGAUGAUGGGGCGGGGGUGUCUUUGGAGGUGGGUGAUGUGUGUGUGUGUGUGUGUGUGUGUGUGUGUGUGUGUGUGUGCUUACCUUCCCAGAAAAGAAGCACCUCUUUCAAGUGAAAGGAUACACCCUAGUACAGAAGUAGGCUGGGUGCCCAGAGAAGACCAGUCCUGCUUCUAGCAUCCCCAGGGACUCACUUCCUCAUUUUUCCGAUGGACCUUUCUCCUUUUGGCUGCUGACGGAGCCACGGGAAGAUGCCGAACUGCUGCCACGUUAAGGAGCCAGGGCACGUUCCAAGAGAACGCAGGGGCUCGCCAGUGUCUAAGCUGCCUUUCUCCUCCCGUUGCUAGGGAAAUGGUCCAGGACUGCUGGGUGUGAGCCUCACCUCUCCUCCAGCCGAGAGACUGCGGUUGUCAUUGACAAUUGAAGAAACAGGACCUGAGAUAAGAGACCUUAGCAAUGAUGUGCGAAGUGAUGCCCACGAUUAAUGAGGACACCCCAAUGAGCCAACGGGGGUCCCAAAGUAGUGGCUCUGACUCGGACUCCCACUUUGAGCAACUGAUGGUCAAUAUGCUAGAUGAAAGGGACCGUUUACUGGACACACUUCGAGAGACUCAGGAAAGCCUCUCGCUUGCCCAGCAAAGACUCCAGGAUGUCAUCUACGACCGAGAUUCACUCCAGAGACAGCUUAAUUCAGCCCUGCCUCAGGACAUCGAAUCUCUAACAGGAGGGCUGACUGGUUCUAAGGGGGCUGAUCCACCGGUAAGUUAGAGCCUUUAUUGGAUAUGUGUUGCAUUGCACGGAGAGUUGUUGUGUACUAUGACAGGUACUGAGUCUUAUUAAAAUUCAGUUGAUGCAGUAAGUAAUAUAAAGUGUAAAAUUGACUCAAGAGUGUUCUGCAGGAUCAAAAAUGGUACCUUCUCAAAUAAUUAAUCUACAUCCAAACCAGUAGCAUGGAAAUAAACAAUGAGGGUUCUAGUUUACUGGUGACCACUUGAUUAGCACACACAGUGCCCUAGAUUCAAUUCCCAGUACAUAAGAAAAAAUUAAUAAAUAUUUUGUUAGAAAUAACAAAUCAUUACUAUUCUAAUAAUAGUCUUAUUAGCUUGAGAAUUUAUAACUCUAAAGUGGAGUCUGGGAACUGCUGCACAAAGAAUUCAGACACCAAUUCAGGUCAUCAGGACUGGUUUAUUGACUGCACGUCUCGAGACUGAUUGAUCAGGGCCAAACUUUAAUUUUGUUCUGAGCAAAUGAUUUCAGCAGACAUUACUUCUGAUGAUUUCCCUGUGAUUUCAGUCUUGAAAAAAAAUUCAAUGUACAUAAGUCAAGUAAAGUUAUAUGCAGAUUGUGUGAGCAAAUGAUCAAUGAAUGAACUUUUACCACAGUUUGAUUUAUUUAAGUAUAGUGGGAAUUAAUGAAUAGUAUGCAUAUGCUGGCCAGUUUUAUGUCAACUUGACAUAAGUUAGAGUCAUCUGAAAGGAGGGGACUUCAAUUGAGGAAAUCCCUCCACAAAAUCUGGCUCUAGAGGAUCUUCUUAGUGAUUGAUAUGGAAGGGCCCUAGACCACUGUGGGUGGUGCCAUCCCUGGAGUUGUGGUUCCUGCCUUGAAUGAUUUUCUGUCAUGACUUCCUUCAGUGAUGGGUGGCAGUGUGGCAGUGUAAACCAAAUAAGGCCCUUCCCUCCAGAUUGCAGUUGUUUCCUGACUAACAUUUAAUGUGCCUUGUGACAAACUAUCAUCUUAAUGACUGAGGCUCACAGGUUGAUCCUCAGAACUGUAAAACCAAAAUAAAGUAAGAAAACAGAAAGUUAGAUUGAAAUAAAUGUAUUUCUAACCCAGGUGGAUUUUGUCUUUCAAUUUAAAAUAUAGCAAAAUAGAUCAUCAAAAUACUAAUUUCCAUUUUCAACAGUUAAAUCAAAGUAUUAAUAAUACCAUUCUGUCAGUUUUACCAAUAAAACAUUCAUUGCUGAAAGUUUUAAUCUCACUUAACAAGAAAAAUUGGAGGAGCAGGAUCUGUGCAUUACUAGAUAAAUGGUCCCUUAUGAGGAUGUAAUACAGUGUAGUAAUUUAUUUUUUAAUAUAACAGGUCACCGAGAAAUUUUGAAACACUAAUAAAAUAAUUAGAAAAUAAAAAUUUUGCUUUAGGUGCACAUAAGAAUUAAUUUUAAAGAUGAAAACUAGGAAACUUGUUUCAUUUCAAAGUGUUGAUUAGUACAUCCAAUGACAUUACUGAUAAAAUGGCUUAUCAGGUAAGAUUAAGUUUGCACGAUUCUAGCAAUGUAUGGUAUUGGUAAUUUUAUUAUUAUUAUUUUUGAGUCAGUGUUUCUCUGUCUAUCCUGGAACUUACUCUGUAGACCAGGCUGGCUUUGAACUGAGAGACCUUCCUGCCUCUGCCUCCAUGGUGCUAGGAUUAAAGGCAUUUACCAACACCAGCAGGCUUAGUAAUUUUAAUAAUAAAUGUUAAGUACAAUUUUUGAAAAUUCAAGUAGC